UACGGAGGAUGCGAGCGUUAUCCGGAUUUAUUGGGUUUAAAGGGUGCGCAGGCGGAUUUUUAAGUCAGCGGUCAAAUCGUGGGGCUCAACCCCAUCCAGCCGUUGAAACUGGGGAUCUAGAGUGUGCGAGAGGUAUGCGGAAUGCGUGGUGUAGCGGUGAAAUGCAUAGAUAUCACGCAGAACCCCGAUUGCGAAGACAGCAUACCGGUGCACAACUGACGCUCAGGCACGAAAGCGUGGGUAUCGAACAGG
rnacentral:rRNA from 1 species